UAAACAGUGCUGACCUGACUCUUCGAGGU
rnacentral:piRNA from 1 species